GAAGCAUUCAUGGACUUCUGUAAGCAAUUCCUGCCCAACUUUGCUGAAAUUCGACGUGUUCUAAUGAGUCACGUGGGUCCGACUCACUACCAAAAGCUCAACCAGCUGGUUGCAGGAGACACCAGUGCGGCCGACGUUGAUUGGAGUACAAAUCAAAAUAAGCCGUACAGAGACGCACUCACGGCUUUGAGCGACGGCAUAAAGACAUUGUUCCCUGACAAAGUGGAUAUGACUCCCAUCAACAAUACCAAGCAGGCAACGGCUGAGUCCGUCCAUGAUUACUACCAAAGACUUCUCACAGUGUUUAAUCUUAACAGUGGCAUUCCACAACCCGUCGUGUUAGGAGACGCUCUGGGGACGUGGGAAUCACACCUGAAGAAUGCUUUCAUGAAUGAACUAUUGCCCGACAUAAAAAUGACUGUGCAGCGUUCUGUUGCUGGAAUGGAAGACUCGCGGCUCGCGGAUGUAAAGAAACAUGCUGCGCAUGCGCAAUCCAUGGAUAUAGAGAGAAUUUACCACGAGGGGAAAAGGCGUUCACAUCAGAUUGAACUCGCCCAACUGACUAUGCUCCAAGCUGUCACUCAACUUGCCAGAAACGACCGCCCAUGGGAUCCCAACCAACGGGGCGAAUUCAGGGGGCGUGGUCGGGGCAUGAUGAGGGGACGCUCCUUCUGGAACCAGGAGGGAUCACAGCUGUAUCCACCCAAUGACAAUGAUACGUGUUUCCGCUGUGGCGAACAAGGACAUUGGCACAGUGAAUGUCCACAAAAAGCACCUUGUAGAGGAUGGGGGCGUGGACUGGCCAGACGAGGAAGGGGUGGAAACGCAACAACAAGCUCUCAUGGACAUCACAGAGCAAUUGAGAACACAACAAAAGCUUUCACUUAAACACACAUAUGCAAAGUUUUCAGGAAAAUCAUUUGAAAAUAUGCCCACCACUAUGAUGCAAAUUCAAGGGAAACUUUUAUCGUUUUUGGUUGAUUCAGGGGCUACACAUUCUGUAAUACAACAAAAGUAUUUUCCAGGUCAGAAACUUAGUGGAACUCACAAGGAGCUUCAGGGAUGUCCAUUGUAGAGAGAUUUACGGCACCUAUGACCAGUACACACACUGACUCAACUGACCCUGAACCAGACAUCACAGUAAAACAUUCCUUUUUGCUGUCCUCUUGCUGUCCCAUUAAUCUACUGGGCAGAGACCUCAUGUGUUCUUUCGGCAUUAGCCUCAUCUCCACUCCUACAGGGUGGCAAGUGGUGAGAUGCAGAGCCAUUGACCAGAUGGCAAAGACAGUUAUGAGUGAUCCAAUGUUUGUGUACCAGUGGUGGCUUCCGGUUGACCCACAAUCAGAACUGUCCCACCUGGCAGCAUCACGCGUCCAGCCUGAGGCAGAGUGCAUGGAUGCUUCAUAUCUUCACUGCACAUCUCAUGUGUCACAUGCAUUAUUUCUACAGGAUCUGAAUGAUCAAAUUGCAUGUAUGACAUUGUUUUGGUCCACACUUAAAUGUGCUGUUUCCGUUUCUCUCACCCCCUCUCAGCAGCACCUCUUUAAUGUGGACUCUUCUUUCCCGCACAUCUCCUUGUCUAAAGCAGCAACAGACCAAUGGAGAGAUUUGGGACCUUUUGUCGCAGCGUGCGAGGCGUUGGCAGAUUGGGAGGCUACACCAGAUCCAAUUGUGAUGCGCUCUCCGUCGACAGGCUUCUUUAAACAGCCAUUCGCAUUUUGCACACCUGCUCUCAGAUCUGUUUAUGUCAUGGAUGAAAAUAACAUAUUUUCUGACACACACACUGAUACAAUUUUGAACAAUCUCCUCUAUUUCUCCUGCCCUCAGUUCUGUUCCAGACACCUUGUGGGCAGCGCAUAAAUAUGACGUGGGACUGUCAACCUGUGGUCAUCACUCCUCGAUCAGACUUCCGUCCCCACAAACAUCAAUACCCACUGCGCCAAGAGGUCAUUGACGGUAUAACACCGGUGUUCAACUCCCUCUUAAAGGCCGGAGUCAUGUCCUGACUCGCCGAUGGAGAGGAGCAUAAUUGUUUGGCUGAGCUGGAGGCUCAGUGCACACCUCGACCAGACCUCGCAGAUACACCUCUGCUCAACAGUGACAUGACUCAGCUGUUCUGUGUUCCGGCCCUCUUCCAUGUCACCUCUCAGCCCAAGCAGCAGAAUUAAUCGCACUAACAGAAGCUUGUAAACUAGCUAAGGAUAAAACGACAACCAUUCACACUGAUUCCAGAUACGCUUUUGGCGGGGUUCAUGAUUUUGGCGCGCUGUGGAAAUACAGAAAUUUUCUCAAAUCAGAUGGCAAACCAGUGUUACACCACACUCUUGGCAUGGCAGAACUAUUGGAUGCCAUUUUGUUGCCCACAGCUAUUGCCGUUUGUAAAUGUGCAGCGCACACAUCCGGCACAGGCGACAUCGCAAAGGGGAAUGAGCGAGCAGACUUAGCUGCAAAAGCGGCUGCUAGACGUCCUCUUCCCAAACCAUCACGCCCAGUUCCUGCCAUGUGUCUGAUCUAAGUCUGUUUUGCCUUGUUUUCUGAAGCAAAUAAGACUUGUAUCCUUAAACUCUCAUUUUGUCAAAACACCACAUGGUGUUUGUUCACUGAUUAGGGUGUCAAGCUAUUGGUGCUUUGCAUUUUGAGGAGUUUCUGUCGAGGCCAAUCGACCUUUUGUCUCCUAAACGACGGGGGAGCGGCCAGCGCAGCCGUUCAGAGGUUAAAAUCCCCUUCCUAGACCUGAACUAGUCAGUGUGCAUCUCUUCUACAAGGCCACCAGACAUCCAGGCGACCUGAAAUCGGAAGUAUCUCUUUCUUUAAACCAAGCUAGUCUGCUAAAUUUGCUGUUGAUUCUAGUGUCUUAAGUUAAUUUGAUUGCUGAUUUGCUUUAGUUUUU
ensembl:lncRNA